UAGGCAGUGGGGAGGGGGAGUGUAAAGGAAAGAAGAGAAGAGGAGCAUCACAGUAGCACAGGCAAGAUACUGAGUAACAAGAAUACCGUAUGAUCAGCAAUUUAUGUUUACAUGGAUGACAUGAGGAGUGAGGGUCCAGGGAGGGGGAAAGACGACUCCAGAUUGUAAAGGGUGAAUUACUCCAGUGACAUAGACAGGGGGUCAAACCAAGAGCCAGUUUCUGAGUGUUGUUAGGAGAGAAAGUUGGUGAGGAGAGGAUUUGUGGGGAGGGGACAAGAUGAGUUUGGCUAGUGGAAGUGGUGGUGUUUUAAGAGAAUGAUGAAAAUAUCCCUUAGGCAGCAAAAAACAUGAGGCUGAAGUUCAUGAGAUUUGGGGUUAUGAUCGAUCAUGAUUUUGCUUUCUGCAUAGAGAAGUGUGAUUCAUUUGCUCUGAAGCGAUGACUGUGACCAAAUAGUGGAUACAAUUCCAAGAUGGGUGGGGAAAGACAGGAGGACUAGAAGGAGUUAGGAACUAGGAAGUUCUUUCACUUGGGACAAUGGAGGAAAAGCCAGCAAAGGAAGCAGAGAAGUAGAAAACCAGAAUGUUACAGGGACACAGAUGACAAGGAAGGAGAGUAUUUCAAGGAGACAGCAAAUGGCAUCAGAUACAGCCAUGACAGGUCAAGAAUAAAGGAAAAUAAGGGAGUAAGCAGAGGAGCAAAAAGACCAAAAGAAAGUGAGGUAGUUUGGGGGGAAGGGCAGUUAUCUGGGAUUUAGGUAAGGAGUAUUAAAAACAAAACAAGCCCCCAAAGGUGUUAUUUACACUAAUCCUCACAUUACCAGACUAGUACUUCCCGCGGCAUAUGGAGGUUCCCAGGCUAGGGGUCAGAUCGGAGCUGUAGCCACCGGCCUACACCACAGCCACAGCAACACCAAAUCUGGGCCGAAUCUGUGACCUACAUGCAGCUUAAAUCAUCGCCAGAACAUUUAACCCACUGAGCAAGGCCAGGGAUCAAACCCACAUCUUCAUGGAUACUAGUCGGAUUCUUAACCCACUGAGCCACAACAGGAACUCCCUCAAUUCCUUUUUUUAAUAUCCUCACUCAUGUUCUUCGUAUGGUGGGAGAUCAAUAAAAUAAAUACUUACUGAGUCAAUUAGUGAAUAAAUGAAGAAACUGACCUUUUCAAGCCAACUUUUUUUAUAUUCUCUGUUUUCAAUGCAGUGAGCCCUCCUAUAACAGCCACUCAGUGUGAUUCAGCAGUAGGUGCCUCCAAACAAGAAAAGUGUAUGUAGCAGAAGCCCAAAGGUCCAGGAAGCCAGAGU
rnacentral:lncRNA from 1 species